UUUCAAAAAUACCCAGGUACGUGUGGACGUAGCCCAAGAAAAACCGAAAUCCGUCUCUUCAAGCCAUGUGAGAAUAUUCAGUCUGUGUCUGGGGCAGCAGCAACAAAAGGAAACACAGGAAGAAGGUGCUGUGUUCUGGACUGUUGGAGAACAGAGUUUAUGUUCAUUGCACAGCUUGUUGCUUGUCCUGCAGACCUUUACACAUCUGGUUCAGAUCGGGCUCAGAUCACAUUCAGACCAUAAACAAAGCACUGUGGAGUUCAUCUGGAAAUGCACCAAGACUACCACCUCCAAAGGGUCUCAGGGCGGUUGUUUUGGUCCAUACCUGAGUGAGAUUACUCUGUUCACACUUGCACUAACCAGCUGCACCAAGAGAGAAAACAAGAGAGAGUUCAAUUUCAACUGCAGACAUGAAAGCACCCUUAGAGUAAUCUAGUCCAGUGCUAUUCUUGGGCAGGGAGGUAUUUUGUGGGAGCUAGUGUCACUCUAUCCUCUCCUCUCACAAUAAUACUGAACAUUUGUUCCUAAUCUCGUCCACAUUUGAAGUUUCAAAUUAUGUCACCUGUAAGGUGAAUCUGGAUAUAUGACACAGGCAUAUCAUGACAGAUACUACAACACAAGGCCCCAUGUCUCCCAAACAGCAUCUGCUAAGACUAAUAAUUAAAUAAAAAUUAUAACUAAUAAUUUCUCAAACUAACCCAGAUUAGGUCCAUAAAAAACCUAAUUUGAGCAUUUUAACAGUCAGUUAAUAGUAACACCUAACAAAAAAGAGAAAAUUAACAAAUUUACUCAAAGAUACGCCCGUUUUACAGAGGUAGCUUACUCUCAUAGCUGCACCACUAAACCAUUAGAUAUUGUUUUGUGGUGAAAAAACCCCUUAAACUACCCAGGAGUCCCUGUAUCAUAGAUAUAUUUAGUCUCUUAACACCCAGGCUUCUAUUAGAGUCAUAGCAUAACAAUUACAACAGUUACAACAAGCAGCAAAAGUCCCUGAGAGGUGCAUAAUAACUGAACACAAACGCUACCCUCACAGUUUUUUAAAACAAACAAAUCCUAAAGAAUUUCGGGGUGUGGCAGAACACAGUAUUUUCCAGGAGAGGCAGCUCCCUUCAGGCAAUACCAGCGUAACUGUGUCAUUACUAUGACUUAGAUCAAGCCACACAUGGGUGGAAUGCAGAAGUACAGUUCAUAUGAUUGCCAAGGUGUCAUGGUCCCCGUACCUCGCCGGCUGACAACAGUCAGGCGCUAUGUGUGUUGUUUAUUCUCUUCUCUUGCACCUGCUCUCUCUUUCUUUCUCGUCCUCUCCCUCUCUCUCUUUUCCCUGCCGAGGCGGAGCUCAGUAUGGGCUCCCGCCUCUGGCCCACGCACCUGGGGAUGAUCAGCACACCUGCCGCUGAUUACCAGAAUUAGAGUCCUACUUAAGAUGGCGAGUCUGCUCUACUCGUCGCUGGAUCGUUGAGCCAUCAGCAUUCCCCCCGGACCCGUUUCCCGGUGCACUGUGAUUGAACGUGAGCAAGAGUGGUUGAGGAAAGAAGAGGAGCUGUGUGUGUUUGCGAGAGCUGUAUGGAAAUCUCCCCUCCCUGGA